rnacentral:rRNA from 1 species
UACAGAGGUCUCAAGCGUUGUCCGGAUUUAUUGGGCGUAGAGCGCGUGUAGGCGGCCAGAUAGGUCUGCUGUGAAAACUCGAGGCUCAACCUCGAGCUGUCGGCGGAAACCAUCUGGCUAGAGUCCGGAAGAGGAGAGUGGAAUUCCUGGUGUAGCGGUGAAAUGCGCAGAUAUCAGGAAGAACACCUAUGGCGAAGGCAGCUCUCUGGGACGGUACUGACGCUGAGACGCGAAAGCGUGGGGAGCGAACAGG